rnacentral:rRNA from 1 species
UAGAGCUUGAUCAUGGCUCAGAUUGAACGCUGGCGGCAGGCCUAACACAUGCAAGUCGAGCGGUAGAGAGAAGCUUGCUUCUCUUGAGAGCGGCGGACGGGUGAGUAAUGCCUAGGAAUCUGCCUGGUAGUGGGGGAUAACGUUCGGAAACGGACGCUAAUACCGCAUACGUCCUACGGGAGAAAGCAGGGGACCUUCGGGCCUUGCGCUAUCAGAUGAGCCUAGGUCGGAUUAGCUAGUUGGUGGGGUAAUGGCUCACCAAGGCGACGAUCCGUAACUGGUCUGAGAGGAUGAUCAGUCACACUGGAACUGAGACACGGUCCAGACUCCUACGGGAGGCAGCAGUGGGGAAUAUUGGACAAUGGGCGAAAGCCUGAUCCAGCCAUGCCGCGUGUGUGAAGAAGGUCUUCGGAUUGUAAAGCACUUUAAGUUGGGAGGAAGGGCAGUUACCUAAUACGUAUCUGUUUUGACGUACCGACAGA